rfam:Camelus ferus isolate Naran unplaced genomic scaffold scaffold1957, whole genome shotgun sequence.
GAGAGUAUAGCUCAAGUGGUAGAGCACAUGCUCAACAUGCAUGAGGUCCUGAGUUCAAUCCCCAGUACCUCCU